AGUGAACGCUGGCGGCAGGCCUAACACAUGCAAGUCGAACGGCAGCACGGCAGUAGCAAUACUGUGGGUGGCGAGUGGCGGACGGGUGAGGAAUACAUCGGGAUCUACCCUGUUGUGGGGGAUAACGUAGGGAAACUUACGCUAAUACCGCAUAAGAACUGAGGUUGAAAGCGGCGGACCGCAAGGCGUCGCGCGAUUGGAUGAACCGAUGUCCGAUUAGCUAGUUGGCGGGGUAAAGGCCCACCAAGGCGACGAUCGGUAGCUGGUCUGAGAGGACGACCAGCCACACUGGAACUGAGACACGGUCCAGACUCCUACGGGAGGCAGCAGUGGGGAAUAUUGGACAAUGGGCGCAAGCCUGAUCCAGCCAUGCCGCGUGGGUGAAGAAGGCCUCGGUUGUAAGACCUUUGUCC
rnacentral:rRNA from 1 species